rnacentral:lncRNA from 1 species
CAGGGGGAGACUCAAGCUCCUGUACAUCUUCUUCAAUAUUAUAAAGACCUAUGGAUCAGUGUUUUAUUUGGAGACGAUGUAGAAGAAGAAGACAACAACAACAAAGAAGAAGAAGAUCAUCUUGCGGUUUGCCCACCUUUCACAGCCACAGAAUUGAAGAAAGCAGGUAUUCGAUGUAUCUGUGCAAAUGAUCUUUCCAAAGGCAUCCGCUUUGAGUCAUCCAUCUUAUCAGGAAUGUUAUUCCUUCCAAAACUAAUCAACGAAUGAUGGACUGUGUACCUUUUUCAUAACCUAGUUGCUUAUGAAUAUGCAUGCAGCUUACAAAAUAGAUCCCAAAACAGAUCCUUUGGGAUCUCAUCUUACUUGAAUUUCAUGUGUAUGUUAAUUAACGGAGAGGAAGAUGUUAAGGAGCUGCGAGCCAGAGGAGUAAUCCAGAUCAACAUCGCUGCUGGCGAUGAUCAACUCAUUAAAUUCUUGAGAGACAUAACAGCACCUACUGAUUCCAAUCCUCAAGCUAUUAGGAAUGUCAAACGACAGAUUUCUACUUACUUCAGAAGUAAACGCUUCCCUCUAGUAGUUGCCCGUGCUGAAAUGAAGCAAAGGUAUUUUAGUGGUCCUUGGAGUUUCCUUGUGUUCCUUGCUGUUAUUUUCACGNNNNNNNNNNNNNNNNNNNNNNNNNNNNNNNNNNNNNNNNNNNNNNNNNNNNNNNNNNNNNNNNNNNNNNNNNNNNNNNNNNNNNNNNNNNNNNNNNNNNNNNNNNNNNNNNNNNNNNNNNNNNNNNNNNNNNNNNNNNNNNNNNNNNNNNNNNNNNNNNNNNNNNNNNNNNNNNNNNNNNNNNNNNNNNNNAAAAACUUAUUUGUAAAAAUGACUUGAUAUCAUUCAUAAAAACCUAUGUCUUUCUGUAACGCUUUCUGCUUUUGCUAUACUUCUUGUAUGGGGCAUGUUUUUCACCCUUUGUUUGAUGAAAUUUAGUACCUUAUCAAAGAAUCUUAUAGAAAUACUGAUGAGUUUACUUGAUGAGAACUCGUGGAAUUGAAUUCGUUGAUCAACUGAUAGUCAUGUUUUGAUCUCGAACAGUUCAUAGAGCAGUCAUGAUUUGUAUUUGCCAAUUCAUUUUUCUUGUUCAGAAAGAUGAUGAGAAAUUUACAGCAGAUGAAAGACCAAUGUCGAUGGCUAUCACAUUUCACAGACCAGUUUGCUCAUCUUCUUUCUGUGGAUUAUAGGGACUCGGCGAAUUGAGGAGCUCCUAAGUCGUGCUCUUAUUUCAUGAUACAGUUCAUGAACCAGUCACUGCAGACAAUGCUUCAUCCAUGCAAGCGACGAAUAUGGUUUUAAAUUCAUCUUUCACUUGAUUGACUCCACGUGCCUACACAAUAGAUGCUCAAGAAAGGGAAGCCAAAUGUCUCUCUAUACACAGCGCUCCUGGAAGGGAAAGAUCACAUUGGAUAUUAUGUACGCAGCCUUACUUACAUUCCUGCACUUGAACCUGUGACCUCCUGGUCACACGAUGACAUCUUUUACCAUAGUGCGAUGGCUCCUCAUCUCCAACAAAUGACGUAAGGAGUCAAAAGAAAAGACUCGAAUGAUAUGAUCCUCCGUCGCCCCCAAAAUGAAAAAGGCCAUCUUGUUGUUUUUGGUCUGUAAAGAUGUGUUGUUAGGUGCUCCGUUUUACUUUCCCACUAAAUCUGUGCUAGAGAAAUAGUUGUUGAUACACCAACUAUUAAUGUUGUAUUAUUGAAUCGUGGAGGUUCAUUUAGUACUAUUAUGUACAUCCUAAUCCUAGUGGCUUCCAAAUAACUCCCUGAAGAAACAUGCAAUUUGCUUGCGCAAAGCUUUGGCUGUUCAAGAGAUAAAAACAGCAGUUGUAGUCAUGCGCUAAAGGGAAACCCAGCUCGGUUGCUUAAGGUCCAUGCUAUGUGAAUGGUUCGAGGCAGGGUUGGACUACAAGGAUCUAUCGUACGCAGUGUUUAUCCUAUAUAGUAGCUAUCGUUUGGGUGAAGAUCUAGAGGAAGGUUAGUUUUCUUUUUAAUUUGCUGUGAUUUGAUGAAUAUGGAGUGACUCCUGUUGGUGGGAUUUCACUGCAUAUUUUGUUGUUUUCAUUUUAUAAACGAAGAGACGGAAGAGAACAAUCAAUAAAGAAUCAAAUGUCAAGCAUAUAUUAUGGCCUCAGUAAAAUAUUGGAGCCUGCACUGACCAUGUGAUGCUCACUCUCACCCAUUAUCACUUUUGGGGGAAGCAAAGAAAUGCUUGAAGGUAGAUCCUUCAAAUUCUAUCACUAUAUGGGAUGACCUUGUGAAGCAGUUCCUCAUACUAUUCUUCUUGUCAGACAAAACUGCAAAGUUACGAGUAAGAUUUUGAGUUUUAAGUAAAAGCUAAAUGAUAACUUGUUUUAUGCAUGGCAAAGAUUCAAAUCCCAUAUCCGAGAUUGUCCACAUCAUCAAUAGACCAAUGAGGUAUUAAUUUAUACUUUUGUUUAUGAUCUUCACCAUAAAAUGAAAAAUUUGUUAGAUUCAGCUGCAGGUGGUAAAGCAUUGGAGAAAAUGUAUAAUCAGCUAUCACCGUGUUUAACCAAAUUGUAUAAGGUAAUCUCAAAUAUAAAGGUGAUAUGUCCCUAUGUGUGGUGAAGAAGCUUGUGGGAAUGAUUGAGGUUAAUAGUGUCACAACUUAGUUUUUUAGUUGGCCUCUCUUCAUGAUGAAACAAUGACAUAAUUUAGUAAAUCGAGUGUGAAUCAACUAUAGGUGCAAGAAUAUAGUUCAAAAGGCAUUGUCUUGAUGUGAUAUUUGUCGUAUUAGUAGUUACAGUAAAGACUCAUCUGGAGCAAACCUAGAAUUAGUUUUUUUUUAUGCAAUACAUAGAAAGGUAAUAAGAAAAAUGGUAAUGCCUAUAACUGCAAUUGGUACAGUCAGCCCAAUUAAUUAUAGGAUAAUAAUCAUCUUAGGCUCAACGGUUUCAACAAUAAUAGAACACACAGAUUGGUAAUAUUAAGGAAACAUUGAAAAAGAUCUCAGCCAAUUAGAACAAAUCGCUGCAAAUAAUAAAAAUCAGCAACACGCUAAGAAGAAUCUAGAGUCACAGUUGGGGCACUUAGCUUAAUCUAAUAACAUAAGACCUCAAAGGGGCUUGCCAAUUGACAUAGAGAAUCCAAAGCAGGCAAUGACAAUUACCUUGACAAGUUGUAGAGACUUGAUUUACAAACCUCCAAAGAAAAAGUAGAAUGAUAAGAAGAUAUAGUCCAAUAAAAAGUAAUUCCUUCUACACUUACCGAUCUUAUGAUAAAGGAACUUUAUCACAAGUUCUUUGGUCCCCGUGUUGUUUCCAUUGGUCCACACUUCCACAAAUUACCUCAUGUUAAACCCAUGGAGAAUUUCAAACGGAAAGCAGUGAGGGAAUUAGCAGAAAGAGUAAAAAACGAUGUAUCCAUUGAACAGGUGUAUGCAAGUGUAGAAGAACACUUGCUCAAAACUCGGAAAUGUUACUCUCCUCAAUUCGAACAAACGAGUGACCCUAUGUGAUGUCAGAUGAUGUUCCUCGACGCCUGCUUUAUUAUUGAAUUCAUCUGCAACGACAAUAUAAUUACUAGUGGCAGGAGGAGCUGGUUGAAUAUGAAGAAACAUGAUAGAGAUUUGGUGCGUCAUGACCUAUUAUUGUAUGAUAAUCAAUUGCCUUUCCAAGUCAUAGAUGCGCUAGCACGUGCAUUUAGAUGUGACGAGUUUACAUUGCACCUUUUAACAAGAAGGUUCCUCCAAAUGCCAUUGUUAAACAUAUCUUCUGCUCCAACUCCUACGUAUCUUGAUUAUAUCAAGGGUGUCCCUUGUCUUCAACAUCAGCAGGGGGAGGCUCAAGCUCCUGUACAUCUUCUUCAAUAUUAUAGAGACCUAUGGAUCAGUGUUUUAUUUGGAGAUGAUGCAGAAGAAGAAGACAACAACGACAACAAAGAAGAAGAAGAUCAUCUUGCGGUGUUCCCACCUUUCACAGACACAGAGUUGAAGAAAGCAGGUAUUCGUGUAUCUGUGCAAGUGAUCUUUCAACAGGCAUCCGCUUUGAGUCAUCCAUCUUAUCAGGAAUGUUAUUCCUUCCAAAACUAACCAUCGACGAAUGGACUGUGAAACUUUUUUCUAACCUAGUUGCUUACGAAUAUGUGUGCAGCUUACAAAAUAUAUCCCUUGGGAUCUUAUCUUACUUGAAUUUCAUGUGCAUGUUAAUAAAUGGAGAGGAAGAUCUUAAGGAGCUGCGAGCCAGAGGAGUAAUCCAGAUCAACAUCGUUGCUGGUGAUGAUCAAUUGAUUAGAUUCUUGAGAAACAUAGCACAACCUACUGAGUCCAAUCCUCAAGCUAUUAGGAAUGUCAAACGACAGAUUUCUACUUAUUUCAGAAGUAAACGCUUCUCCCUAGUAGUUGCCUGUGCUGAAAUGAAGCAAAGGUACUUUAGUGGUCCUUGGAGUUUUCUUGUGUUCCUUGCUGUUAUUUUCACGGUUGGUAUGACUGUAAUUCAGACUGUGCUCACAGGCAUUCAG